rnacentral:rRNA from 1 species
UACAGAGGGUGCGAGCGUUAAUCGGAAUUACUGGGCGUAAAGCGCGCGUAGGCGGCUUUGCAAGUCGGGUGUGAAAUCCCCAGGCUUAACCUGGGAACUGCAUUCGAGACUGCAUUGCUAGAGUAUGGGAGAGGGAAGUGGAAUUUCCGGUGUAGCGGUGAAAUGCGUAGAUAUCGGAGGAACACCGAUGGCGAAGGCAAUCCCCUGGACCUGUACUGACGCUCAUGCACGAAAGCGUGGGGAGCAAACAGG